ACGGUUCCCUUGCUUCGAUUUUGAUGAGAGCUGCUUAACAGCAAUUAUUGCACCAUCUGACAGCACUCCCUUGUACACUGGCCCAAAUCCUCCCUCUCCAAUCUUAUUUACUGCGUCAAAAUUGUUGGUAGCAUGUUUAAUUUGUCUUAGAGUGAAAUAACCAGUCUGGAGAUCUAGUCCACGAAGUUCUUUAUCUUCAAGGUCCUUCCCUCCUAAAUAAAUCGGAGGACUAUCAAGAUCAGCACAACAACCAGACAUGAAGCAGCUACAAUGCCAAUAAUAGCUCCAACCGGCAACCCUCCUCCAUCAUCAACCUUGAAGUUUG
rnacentral:misc_RNA from 1 species